rnacentral:rRNA from 1 species
GACGAACGCUGGCGGCGUGCCUAAUACAUGCAAGUAGAACGCUGAAGGAGGAGCUUGCUCUUCUGGAUGAGUUGCGAACGGGUGAGUAACGCGUAGGUAACCUGCCUGGUAGCGGGGGAUAACUAUUGGAAACGAUAGCUAAUACCGCAUAACAGUAGAUGUUGCAUGACAUUUACUUAAAAGGUGCAAUUGCAUCACUACCAGAUGGACCUGCGUUGUAUUAGCUAGUUGGUGGGGUAACGGCUCACCAAGGCGACGAUACAUAGCCGACCUGAGAGGGUGAUCGGCCACACUGGGACUGAGACACGGCCCAGACUCCUACGGGAGGCAGCAGUAGGGAAUCUUCGGCAAUGGACGGAAGUCUGACCGAGCAACGCCGCGUGAGUGAAGAAGGUUUUCGGAUCGUAAAGAUCUGUUGUAAGAGAAGAACGAGUGUGAGAGUGGAAAGUUCACACUGUGACGGUAUCUUACCAGAAAGGGACGGCUAACUACGUG